UUGGCAAGCGGGGGCAGUGCCCCCAAAUGUGGCCCCCUCCUGACUCACCAGUGCCUGAGAUAACUUUAGCAAAAGCUUUAUUUUCACAAUAGAAGAUAAACCUUGAGAUACAAAUACCUCUAGGAGAGAGGAGUAAAUGGCUGAUGCAAACAUUUAUUUUGAUUAUGAUAGAAAGGAAAAGGUAUCUGUCUUAGUCCUUUUGGGCUGCUAUAACAAAAUGCCAUAAACCAGGUGGCCCAUAAAUAACAGAAAUUUAUUUCUCACAGCUCCUAAGGAUGGAAAGUCCAAGUUCAAGGUGCUGGCAGAUUCAGUGUCUGGAGAAGACCCAUUCCUCACAGAGGCUCAUCUUCACUGUAACCUCACAUAGUAAAAGGCAAGGGAUCUCUUUUGUAAGGACAUUAAUCCCAUUCAUGAGGGCUUCCCCUUCAUGACCUAAACACCUCCAAAAGACCCCACCUCCAAAUACCUUUACUUUUGGGCUUAAGAUUUCAACAUAUGAAAUUUAGGAGCACACAAGUGUUCAAACCAUAGCAAUGUCAUGGGAUAAUUCAUGCAGUAGAUUGGAAGAGAGGCAUAGAACAAAAUAGAAAAAAAAUAUCUGCCUCCAUCACAAUUUGACCUGCUUUGGUGUACUGGAGAAGCCAUCAUCUUUUAAGAUAAGUCCAAAAGGAACUUCCACAUUGUGCAAAGAAAGCUCGUCUUGUACUAGGAGUAGAAAGAGGAACUACAAUUUACUUAGAAAACAGAAUACGUGGUACAAAACUAGGAUCACUACUUAUUGAAGGGCAGAUUGCACCAUGAAUGAUGUCCUCUAAAAUUGUGCCCAGUACAGCCUGUAAAGCUAUGGACCAUGGCAUUGUAAAGAUGGCUUAAGGUAAGUCAUCAGCAAAUCUAAAUAAACUUAGGGAAGCAUUCUCCAAAUUGUGUCCUGUGGAAUAAUUAUUGUUCAGGAGAGGCAGCACCUAGAGCUGACUUUUCUGGAGUUCUUCAGAGGAACUUUGGACUCUUCUAGAGUUAAAAACACUGAGAAAGGGGAGAUCUGAGCCAGUUCUUCUCCACAUGACAGCUCUCUAAGUCUGUGUGCAUCUAGUAAGCCUUCCGCAGAGCUGAGCAGCUCUCAAGCUCAUUGGUCUUAGCCAAAGAACAAUCUUGUUUCCAAGAUAUGUUUGCUGGCAAUUCAGAUUACACCUUCCACUUGAAGAAAGAAGCUGGGACAGAUGCCAAGCCCACUGCAAGCCACUCUGGUUCUUAUAAUGGCACUUACAGGGGCUGUAGAAAAUAUAAACUGGAUCAUUCACUCAAGACAGAAGAGCAGUCAUAACCAUAAAAUUCUCAUUCAGGUCAAUUCAAUCAAUAGAAACCAAAAGAUUAAUCUUUGCCGGUUCUGCCACCAACCAAUUUAAAGAAAACAUAAUCUGAUAGAUAGAUAGAUAGAUAAAGAAGGAGAGAGACAGAGGGAUUUGAUAUGUACACAUAUACAUACCUAAAUCAUAUGUAUACAACUCAACAACUUAUUACAGCACCCAGAUAAAAAUAAUAGACUAUGACUGCGUGCAUUGGCUCAUGCCUGUAAUCCUAGCACUUUGGGAGGCUGAGGUGGAGGGAUGGCUUGAGGCCAUGAGUUCCAGACCAGCCUGGACAACAUUGCAAGACCCCGUCUCUGUAAAAAGAAAUUAAGCCAGCCAUGGUGGCACACACCUGUCCCUGCUACUUGGGAGGCUAAGGCAGGAGGAUCACUGCAGCCCAGGAGUUCAAGGCUGCAGUGAGCUAUGAUCACACCCCUGCACCCCAGCUUGGACAACAGAGAGAGACCCUGCCACU
rnacentral:lncRNA from 1 species